GAUGAACGCUGGCGGCGUGCCUAAUACAUGCAAGUCGAGCGAACAGACGAGGAGCUUGCUCCUCUUACGUUAGCGGCGGACGGGUGAGUAACACGUGGAGAACCUACCUAUAAGACUGGGAUAACUUCGGGAAACCGGAGCUAAUACCGGAUAAUAUAUUGAACCGCAUGGUUCAAUAGUGAAAGACGGUUUUGCUGUCACUUAUAGAUGUAUCCGCGCCGCAUUAGCUAGUUGGUAAGGUAACGGCUUACCAAGGCAACGAUGCGUAGCCGACCUGAGAGGGUGAUCGGCCACACUGGAACUGAGACACGGUCCAGACUCCUACGGGAGGCAGCAGUAGGGAAUCUUCCGCAAUGGGCGAAAGCCUGACGGAGCAACGCCGCGUGAGUGAUGAAGGUCUUCGGAUCGUAAAACUCUGUUAUUAGGGAAGAACAAAUGUGUAAGUAACUAUGCACGUCUUGACGGUACCUAAUCAGAAAGCCACGGCUAACUACGUG
rnacentral:rRNA from 1 species